CUAGAAUACCAAGUGUUCAGUCUCAAAUCUGUAAACUCUCUUUUUUAUCUUAAACACAAAAAAUCUUCACUAGAUUUGGUGAUCUUGGGGCUAUAAACCUGAUUAUAUUUAGGUUUUUGAAUUCACAGCCCAGUAUAGGCAUGAUAUACGCAGUCACUCAGUGAUAUGAAACUCUCAGAAACAGAAGAGAAGCUAACAUUUUUCACAAGGAGCUCUCAUUUGGAAGGACAUUCCUGUGAAGAGAAUCAUCAAAAAAGAUUAAAAUAAAUACACAAUGACUACUUCCUGAGGCAUUCUCCAUUAUGACCUAUGACUAUCUUUGCCAUAUAAGGGGAGGCAAAUGUGAAUAUGCAACAGAAGGCUUAGCUGAGCGCAUGCAAAGGAAAUCUGUGUGUAAAUCCAACUGGGAUGAGACAGACAAAGCCCAAAGUAGAGAAGAGACCUGCAGACUGCAAGAAGAGAAUAAAGCAAC
rnacentral:lncRNA from 1 species